ACGACCUUACUUGAACAAGAUUUGUUCUAUAGGUUCGUACUAUUGUAUCCUUGACUUCUAAGCAGACAAAAAACUAAGAUUGGUAGAUGAAUUGUGGUCUUUAGACUAGAGCGUGAUUAACAACCUUCUGUUAGGACCGAAAUAAGCAGGUGUAGCGUGGAAGCUAGCAAAGCAAACCUCGAAAGACCACAAGUAAGAAGACAAACG